rfam:Cricetulus griseus cell line CHO-K1, whole genome shotgun sequence.
GGGGGUGUAGCUCAGUGGUAGAGCUCCUGCUUUGCGCGCAUGAGGUCCCGGGUUCGAUUCCCGGCGUCUCCA